rnacentral:rRNA from 1 species
GGGUCAGGAGGUUGGUCGUGCCACCGGUACGUACUGGUCUCACUGAUUCCUCCUUCCUGAAGAACCGUAAUGCCAUUAAUUUGGUGUUGCGGGGAAACAGGACUGUUACUUUGAAAAAAUAAGAGUGUUUAAAGCAAGCUAACGCUUGAAUACAUUAGCAUGGAAUAAUGAAAUAGGACGAUCGAUCCUAUUUUGUUGGUUUCUAGGAUUGACGUA